rnacentral:rRNA from 1 species
AGUCCCGCAACGAGCGCAACCCUUAUUCUUAGUUGCUAGCAGGUUAUGCUGAGAACUCUAAGGAGACUGCCGGUGACAAACCGGAGGAAGGUGGGGACGACGUCAAGUCAUCAUGGCCCUUACGUGUAGGGCUACACACGUGCUACAAUGGCAUUUACAGAGGGAAGCGAGACAGUGAUGUGGAGCGGACCCCUUAAAGAAUGUCGUAGUCCGGAUUGGAGUCUGCAACUCGACCCCAUGAAGUCGGAAUCGCUAGUAAUCGCAGGUCAGAAUACUGCGGUGAAUACGUUCCCGGGCCUU